CACAAUUCAUGCCCAUGUCUUUAUCCAAUGAAAACGAUAGCUCUUUAUUAUGUCGCCUACACAUAUCUACUUUUACUAUGCUUUAAUUGCCUUUCCCCAAUCCAGUGUUUAAUCCCAGAACCAGCCCCUACGCCCAAAUGAAUAACGAGAUAAGCACACCAAUCACAGGAUAAAUCCAACGACCGUAACCGGACAAAAAUAUACAAAACCUAAAACCAGUAGCCACCACCCUGUUCUCUGAUCUCUCACACCUCAAUAUUUUUUCAAGUUUCAAGAAAAUGCCUCUUUCCUUUAACCCCCAGACUAGCCAAGGCCUUCCAGUUUGUCUUUCUGGGAUCAAUCUUCAUCCUUUUUCUUUCUCCAAGGAGUAUUUUCCCUUUUCACUUCAUGCUCCCCCCCCCCCGCCCCCCCAACAAAUCACACAUACGCAGCUAAUAGUCUAAUUAAUUCUCUCGUCUUCUUUUUUUCCUUCUUUUUGGUGCAGAAUGGCAGAUCAUGACAGAAGAAGGAAGGCCAUAAAAAAGAUGAAAUCGCAAGCUCUGCAUAUAGGUCAAGGAAGGACAAGGAAUGGGGGAGUGAAUAGAAAUGGAGAUGUUGCUUGCUUUUCUUUGGCUUGUUCAGCCAAGGCAGCAUAAUUUCACUGAAUUUUAAUUAGCGCUAGUUUUUUAGGUUUGAUUAGUUUUAUGGGCUUGUUUUAAAUUUACUCCGUUUUGUAGAUCCGUGUUUGAUUUGAUCUUUUUUCUUAAAUUUUGACUGAAGAUCUGCAGUAUGAUGAAGGCUUAUUAAUCGGUGUAUGUAUGCUUUCUUUAAGCUAAUUUUUUUUAUCAUUAUUUUGAAUGUAGAGAAAGCAAGUAUUGAGUGACUAAGGGUUGCGCGUCCGGCCAUGGUCGGGCUCUGACAUCUGUAUUUAACGAUCUCUAGUGUUGAUUGAUGAAGGAUGCACCUCCGGAGCGGUGGUGUGAGACUGUGAGGGGCAAGUCUUACUUAGGUGUUUCCGACCUGAUUAAGUGGGAAGUCUGGAUUCUUUCAUUAAAGGAAGAAGGGCAUUUGCGAGCAAGAAAGCUUCAUUCUCAAAGUCAGCUCUCUCCCUUCUUGCUUUAGUUUUCAUGACAUGCCUAAAAAUGGUAAGGACCUUGUCUCUGCCAAUCUAAAAGACCUAUUAGGGGUCGUUAAGAAAGCGAAGGAGCCAGCCAUUUGUCAAGGCCCAGGAAUCCUCUGGACAUGUCAGUCCUAACCCGCUAAUUCUGGAUGUAGUUUCAUAAGAGGUUAAAUAGGGACGAACUUACAAUCUUUCAUACCUUUUUCCAAUGCCAUUAAGGAAAUGGAAAGGCAACUACUACCUCCAUGUGUUUCCAUCGGAUAUUUGGCAUAUUAUGUUUAAUCCUUCUUGAAAAAUUUAUGUUCGCUAAGAAAGUGCAAAUAGCAAGUGCACGAAUUGUGUUCAAGUAAUAAAGUAGACUUUUGAGUUUGAGUUGUCAAUCACUCGAGGAAUGUUUAUUUUUGAUUA
rnacentral:lncRNA from 1 species